ACGCUGGCGGCGUGCCUAACACAUGCAAGUCGAGCGGGAAUAUGUUGAAGAUUUAUCUGAUACAUAUUCUAGCGGCGGACGGGUGAGUAACGCGUGGGUAACCUGCCCUAAAGUGGGGAACAACUCAGGGAAACUUGAGCUAAUACCGCAUGAUAUAUAUUAUUCGCAUGAUUGAUAUAUCAAAGGAGUAAUUCGCUUUAGGAUGGGCCCGCGUCUGAUUAGCUAGUUGGUGAGGUAAUGGCUUACCAAGGCGACGAUCAGUAGCCGGACUGAGAGGUCGAUCGGCCACAUUGGGACUGAGACACGGCCCAGACUCCUACGGGAGGCAGCAGUGGGGAAUAUUGCGCAAUGGGGGAAACCCUGACGCAGCGACGCCGCGUGAAGGAUGAAGGAUUUUGGUCUGUAAACUUCUUUAAUCUGUGACGAAUAAAUGACGGUAGCAGAGGAAUAAGCCCCGGCUAACUACGUGCCAGCAGCCGCGGUAAUACGUAGGGGGCAAGCGUUGUCCGGAAUUACUGGGUGUAAAGGGAGUGUAGGCGGGUGUUUAAGUCAAAUGUGAAAACUAUGGGCUCAACUCAUAGACUGCAUUUGAAACUGGGCAUCUUGAGUACAGGAGAGGAAAGUGGAAUUCCUAGUGUAGCGGUGAAAUGCGUAGAUAUUAGGAGGAACACCAGUGGCGAAGGCGACUUUCUGGACUGUAACUGACGCUGAGGCUCGAAAGUGUGGGGAGCAAACAGGAUUAGAUACCCUGGUAGUCCACACUGUAAACGAUGGAUACUAGGUGUAGGAGGUAUCGACUCCUCCUGUGCCGCAGCUAACGCAAUAAGUAUCCCACCUGGGGAGUACGGCCGCAAGGUUGAAACUCAAAGGAAUUGACGGGGGCCCGCACAAGCAGUGGAGUAUGUGGUUUAAUUCGAAGCAACGCGAAGAACCUUACCAGGGCUUGACAUAAUAGUGAAAAGUAUAGAGAUAUACUCCUCUUUCGGGACACUAUUACAGGUGGUGCAUGGUUGUCGUCAGCUCG
rnacentral:rRNA from 1 species